UACGUAGGGACCAAGCGUUGUUCGGAUUUACUGGGCGUAAAGGGCGCGUAGGCGGCUUAACAAGUCACUUGUGAAAUCUCCGGGCUUAACUCGGAACGGCCAAGUGAAACUGUCAAGCUAGAGUGCAGAAGGGGCAAUCGGAAUUCUUGGUGUAGCGGUGAAAUGCGUAGAUAUCAAGAGGAACACCAGCGGCGAAGGCGGCGCUCUGGGCCGGAACUGACGCUGAGGAGCGAAAGCGUGGGGAGCAAACAGG
rnacentral:rRNA from 1 species